AGAGUUUGAUCCUGGCUCAGGAUGAACGCUGGCGGCGUGCUUAACACAUGCAAGUCGAACGGUGAAGCAGAGCUUGCUCUGUGGAUCAGUGGCGAACGGGUGAGUAACACGUGAGCAACCUGCCCCUGACUCUGGGAUAAGCGCUGGAAACGGCGUCUAAUACCGGAUACGAGACGUGAUCGCAUGGUCAACGUCCGGAAAGAAUUUCGGUUGGGGAUGGGCUCGCGGCCUAUCAGCUUGUUGGUGAGGUAAUGGCUCACCAAGGCGUCGACGGGUAGCCGGCCUGAGAGGGUGACCGGCCACACUGGGACUGAGACACGGCCCAGACUCCUACGGGAGGCAGCAGUGGGGAAUAUUGCACAAUGGGCGCAAGCCUGAUGCAGCAACGCCGCGUGAGGGAUGACGGCCUUCGGGUUGUAAACCUCUUUUAGCAGGGGAGAAGCGAAAGUGACGGUACCUGCAGAAAAAGCACCGGCUAACUACGUGCCAGCAGCCGCGGUAAUACGUAGGGUGCAAGCGUUAUCCGGAAUUAUUGGGCGUAAAGAGCUCGUAGGCGGUUUGUCGCGUCUGCUGUGAAAACCCGAGGCUCAACCUCGGGCCUGCAGUGGGUACGGGCAGACUAGAGUGCGGUAGGGGAGAUUGGAAUUCCUGGUGUAGCGGUGGAAUGCGCAGAUAUCAGGAGGAACACCGAUGGCGAAGGCUGAUCUCUGGGCCGUAACUGACGCUGAGGAGCGAAAGGGUGGGGAGCAAACAGGCUUAGAUACCCUGGUAGUCCACCCCGUAAACGUUGGGAACUAGUUGUGGGGUCCAUUCCACGGAUUCCGUGACGCAGCUAACGCAUUAAGUUCCCCGCCUGGGGAGUACGGCCGCAAGGCUAAAACUCAAAGGAAUUGACGGGGACCCGCACAAGCGGCGGAGCAUGCGGAUUAAUUCGAUGCAACGCGAAGAACCUUACCAAGGCUUGACAUAUACGAGAACGGGCCAGAAAUGGUCAACUCUUUGGACACUCGUAAACAGGUGGUGCAUGGUUGUCGUCAGCUCGUGUCGUGAGAUGUUGGGUUAAGUCCCGCAACGAGCGCAACCCUCGUUCUAUGUUGCCAGCACGUAAUGGUGGGAACUCAUGGGAUACUGCCGGGGUCAACUCGGAGGAAGGUGGGGAUGACGUCAAAUCAUCAUGCCCCUUAUGUCUUGGGCUUCACGCAUGCUACAAUGGCCGGUACAAAGGGCAGCAAUACCGUGAGGUGGAGCGAAUCCCAAAAAGCCGGUCCCAGUUCGGAUUGAGGUCUGCAACUCGACCUCAUGAAGUCGGAGUCGCUAGUAAUCGCAGAUCAGCAACGCUGCGGUGAAUACGAUCCCGGGUCUUGCACACACCGCCGGUCAAG
rnacentral:rRNA from 1 species